CGAAACGACUCUCGGCAACGGAUAUCUCGGCUCUUGCAUCGAUGAAGAACGUAGCGAAAUGCGAUACGUGGUGUGAAUUGCAGAAUCCCGUGAACCAUCGAGUUUUUGAACGCAAGUUGCGCCCAAAGCCUUUUGGUUGAGGGCACGUCUGCCUGGG
rnacentral:rRNA from 2 species